rnacentral:rRNA from 1 species
GAUGAACGCUAGCGAUAGGCUUAACACAUGCAAGUCGAGGGGCAGCACAAGGUAGCUUGCUAUCUGGGUGGCGACCGGCGCACGGGUGCGUAACGCGUAUUCAACUUGCCCUAUACAGGAGGAUGACCCUUCGGAAGACGGACUAAUACUGCGUAUGCUCACAACUUGGCAUCAAGCGGUGAGGAAAGAAAUUCGGUAUAGGAUAGGCAUGCGUCCCAUUAGCUUGUUGGUGAGGUAACGGCUCACCAAGGCAACGAUGGGUAGGGCAACUGAGAGGUUUAUCCCUCACACGGGUACAGGGACACGGACCAGGCGCCUGCGACAGGCAGCAGAGAGGAACAUGAGGCAAUGGGGGCGAAUCUGAACCAGCCAAGUCGCGUGAAGGAUGACUGUCUUAUGGAUUGUAAGCUUCUUUUAUACGGGAAUAGCAAGAGUCACGUGUGACUCAAUGACUGUACCGUAUGAAUAAGCAUCGGCUAACUCCGUG